AUGUCCCUACGGGGGGCAGCAGUGGGGAAUAUUGCACAAUGGGGGAAACCCUGAUGCAGCGACGCCGCGUGAGUGAAGAAGUAAUUCGUUAUGUAAAGCUCUAUCAGCAGGGAAGAAAAUGACGGUACCUGAGUAAGAAGCCCCGGCUAACUACGUGCCAGCAGCCGCGGUAAUACGUAGGGGGCAAGCGUUAUCCGGAUUCACUGGGUGUAAAGGGAGCGUAGACGGCGAGACAAGUCUGGAGUGAAAGGCCGGGGCCCAACCCCGGGACUGCUCUGGAAACUGCCUGGCUGGAGUACAGGAGG
rnacentral:rRNA from 1 species